UUCCAGGAUUUUAGGUUUAAAGUUGUUGUGCAUGGUAGUUUGGUUCUUCGUAUGGUUUUGAGUGAUUAUAACUUGUACACACUGGGUGCAUAAUAAUGUAAUGUUACACUGAAUAGUAUUAAUGACCAACAGCAACAAACAGAUCCCCUCAAGGUAAGUCUGUUGGCUGUAUUUUAAUGAAGACCAUCGCUGGACUUCAGGAUCUUCCUCCGUUCAGCUCAAGGUGAGGCGUUUUUUCUUUGGUUGGUUCCGGCUGGAAUGUUCGGAUUCCAGUCGGACGGUUUGUGCUUCCCGCCGUGGAAGGUUCUGAGUGCGGUCACUUGAUUUAGUCCCAAUGGUUAGCAUAGAAAGUUGUAGUCUUGACAACCAUAAGAACACUGACACGAAUUUCGUACAAUAUGUUAAUUUCCGAUGGUUGCGCCGUACUUUUAACCACGUUGACGGGACUCUCGCUGCGUACAAAACGGCGUUCUACUUGCGGCCCAAUUUUUGGUGAAGGCUGAAAAUCAUUUCAAGGUGGAAGACAACUCAAAGGUGAGGCUGAGAGGCUUGGGACCGGAGGCUUGUGGUGCCAGGAUGGACCGGAGACUGAGGCUGGAGACCAGGGGCCUGCAGCACCGGACCAGAGGACCAGGAAUCCAUGGCUGAAGGAGCUGAUGGAGGCCCUGCCUGGUGGAGGAGCCAUGCUGAAAGCCCUGCCUGGUGGAGGAGCUGACGGAGGCCCUGCCUGGUGGAGGAUGUCUGUCGUGGGACCAGGACUCUUUCUGAGGAGAGCAGAUGGAGGAGCUGAGACGCUGGAGGACAACUAGGAAUCAACCAACAAGGAUUCCUCAACGUGUUUCUGGAGCGGAGGCCAGCUGGUAGGGGAGCCGUGAAUCUGGAGGAUGACCAUCACUCUACCAACAAGGAUUACUUUAGGGCCAGACUCGCGCUGUUUGUUCCAGACCAGGACUCUGGCUGAGGAGAGCUGAUGGAGGAGCCAAGACUCUGUAGGACGACAUCACUCCACCAACCAGGAUCCUCACCAGGAAUCUGGAGGACUGACGGAGAAGCUGUACAUCUGGAAGGCAAAUCCUGAGGACGAUCAGGACUCUACCAUCAAGGAUUCCUCACACACAUGAGCUGAACCUCACCUGAUCCUGUUUGGUCGGGGGCAGACGCACCUGAGCUGAACCCCACCUGAUCCGGACAUCCUGCUGGUCCCGUCUCCUCAGUUCAUCUGAGCCUCUUCCUCCAGAAGACAUGCUGAGCUCGGCGGUCUGAGGCUGAUGUAUCAAUGACCUCCAGUGGGAGUGAUCUUCUUGACCCCACAUGUAGCCGUGUGCUUCCACACGCCUUUCCCUCACGUCUGUCACUAACCUCAUUACUUCACUACUCUCUACUCCUUCUCCUUCUUCUUCCUUCUCCGUGGUUCGAACCUUUACUCUGAAGGAGUGUCUCCUUGAACCUUUACACUGAAGGAGCGUCUUCCUGUCCUCAGAGGGUUCAGCGUUAGGGUUGAGAGUCAGGGUUUAGAGUCAGGGACAGAGCUGGUCAGGGAGGGCUGGUUUUACAUAAACCUUUUCACUUGCUUUCUGAAUGGUGGUGACAUUUUGAAAAGAUUAAUUUGGGAAAAUGUUUUCCUCUUUUUUUGCUUUACAAAAAUAUGUAUUAAACUUCUGUGUUUGUAACCAGACCAGGUAUCCAUGGCUGAAGGAGCUGAUGGUGGAGCCGUGCUGAAAGAGCGGAUGGAGGAGCCGGGCUGACGGCCCUGCCUGGUGGAGGAGCCGUGCUGACGGCCCUGCCUGGUGGAGGAGCCGUGCUGACGGCCCUGCCUGGUGGAGGAGCCGUGCUGACGGCCCUGCCUGGUGGAAGAGCCGUGCUGACGGCCCUGCCUGGUGGAGGAUGUCUGUCGUGGGGUAGAUGGAGCCUGACUCUGUGACAUCACACUCACUGCCACUUCUCGUAGAAUACUGCUACCACAAACCACCGGCGUUUGUAACAAUAUACCAGACGACUACAUCUGUUUUACCACAUGUUGAAGCAAGACUUCUGCUGUUUGUUCCAGACCAGGACUCU